rnacentral:rRNA from 1 species
GACGAACGCUGGCGGCGUGCCUAAUACAUGCAAGUCGAACGAAGCUGUUUUAACUGGUGCUUGCACCGACUUAAACAACUGAGUGGCGAACGGGUGAGUAACACGUGGGUAACCUGCCCCAAAGCGGGGGAUAACAUUUGGAAACAGAUGCUAAUACCGCAUAACCACAGAAACCACAUGGUUUCUGUGUCAAAGAUGGUUUCGGCUAUCACUUUGGGAUGGACCCGCGGCGUAUUAGCUAGUUGGUAAGGUAAUGGCUUACCAAGGCAAUGAUACGUAGACGAACUGAGAGGUUGAUCGGCCACAUUGGGACUGAGACACGGCCCAAACUCCUACGGGAGGCAGCAGUAGGGAAUCUUCCACAAUGGACGAAAGUCUGAUGGAGCAACGCCGCGUGAGUGAAGAAGGGUUUCGGCUCGUAAAACUCUGUUGUUAAAGAAGAACGUAUCUAAGAGUAACUGCUUAGGUAGUGACGGUAUUUAACCAGAAAGCCACGGCUAACUACGUGCCAGCAGCCGCCGUAA